rnacentral:misc_RNA from 1 species
AUUGAGUUCGAUAACGACAAUGUUAAUUGUUUAUCGUUUGUGCAACGCUAUAAGGCGAUUCUUCUCGAAAAAUUGCAAGUGCCGAAACGACGCCUGUUUUUAUGAGAAAAUUCUCAAACUAAUAUGAUGCUCCUCGGACAGCUCUUCUCUGCCUUCUCUUUCGCUCUCCACUCGUCUCCCCCUAGAGAACAGCGUAAUAGGACUACGUGUGCUCGUAGUC